AUGAACCAUGCUUCUGCCCCUGGUCCGGAUGGCCUCCCCGCGAACUUCUUCCAGACCUUCUGGGAUGUGAUUAAGCCGGAGGAGAUGGCCCUGUUCGAGGAAUUCUAUGUGGGCACCAUUGACCUCUCGCGCCUCAACUACGGGAUCAUCACACUCAUCCCCAAGGUGGCGGGGGCUUCUGACAUCCGCCAGUUUCGGCCGAUCACGGUGAUCAACGUGAUAUUCCGUAUUCUGGCAAAGGGGCACGCCAAUAGGGUGACCCUUUUAGCUGACCGCAUCACCCAUCCUAACCAAUCGGCCUUCAUCCACAACCGCUUUAUCUUAGAUGGAGUCUUAGUCUACCAUGAGGUUCUGCACGAGGUGCGCACUAGGCGACAACGUGGUCUUCUUGAAGAUCGACUUUCACAAGGCCUAUGA
rnacentral:rRNA from 1 species